AACGAACGCUGGCGGCAGGCCUAAUACAUGCAAGUCGAACGAGAUCUUCGGAUCUAGUGGCGCACGGGUGCGUAACGCGUGGGAAUCUGCCCUUGGGUUCGGAAUAACGUCGGGAAACUGACGCUAAUACCGGAUGAUGACGUAAGUCCAAAGAUUUAUCGCCCAAGGAUGAGCCCGCGUAGGAUUAGCUAGUUGGUAAGGUAAAGGCUUACCAAGGCGACGAUCCUUAGCUGGUCUGAGAGGAUGAUCAGCCACACUGGGACUGAGACACGGCCCAGACUCCUACGGGAGGCAGCAGUAGGGAAUAUUGGACAAUGGGCGCAAGCUUGAUCCAGCAAUGCCGCGUGAGUGAUGAAGGCCUUAGGGUUGUAAAGCUCUUUUACCCGGGAUGAUAAUGACAGUACCGGGAGAAUAAGCCCCGGCUAACUCCGUGCCAGCAGCCGCAGUAA
rnacentral:rRNA from 1 species